GACGAACGCUGGCGGCGUGCCUAACACAUGCAAGUCGAACGAAGAGAGAUGGAGGCUUGCUUCUAUCAGUCUGAGUGGCGCACGUGUGUGAAACGCGGAAACAACCUGCACUUCAGAGGGGGACAACAGUGGGAAACGACUUCUUAUACCACAAACGAUCUAAUCUCGGGAUCGAGGAGAGAAGGACGGUGGCGUCUACAUGUAAGCUAUCACUGAAGGAGGGGUAUGCGGCUGGUUAGGUAGUUGGGGGGGUAAGGGCCCACCCAAGCGAGGGUCAGUAGCCGGUCUGGGAGGAUGGACGGCCACAUUGGGACUGGGACACCGCCCAGGCUCCUACGGGGGGGAGCAGGGGGGAAUCUUCCGCAAUGGACGGAAGUCUGGCGGGGCAACGCCGCGUGGGUGAUGACGGCCUUCGGGUUGUAAAGCUCUGUUAAUCGGGAAGAAAGGCCUUCUUGCGAAUAGUGAGAAGGAUUGACGGUACCGGAAUAGAAAGCCACGGCUAACUACGUG
rnacentral:rRNA from 1 species